rnacentral:rRNA from 1 species
UUGCAGAUUUUCAGUGAAUCAUCGAAUCUUUGAACGCACCUUGCGCCCCUUGGUAUUCCGAGGGGCAUGCCUGUUUGAGUGUCAUU